UAUUGGCGAUAAAGAAAAGAAAGAAAAGAAGAUCGAGGAAGAAGAGGAGGGAGAGAAGGAGCUUCGUCGGUCAUCAAUGGCAGACGGCGAAGGAGGCCCUGUCGGAGCGUGGUGACGAAGGCUAGGGAUGCAGCUGUCGUCGGCGAGAUCGUUGGUGCCGGGCGCAGCAGUAGGAGGCUUCGGCAGGCGUGGGAACGAGAAAGGCAGCUGCAACCUUCUUGUCGUCGUUCCUGGAGUUUCCAGCGUCCAAUGGCGGCGGUUUUAGUCUUAAAAUGACCGGUGACUUAAGAGAUUUCUUUUAGAGGCAGCAACAUCGGCAAUGGUGAACGGAGGAGAAAGUUCCGGCGAAGUGAAGACAAUUUGGAUUUCUCACUUUUUUGGCCGUUGCCGUUAAGCUUCCGACGAUCGGAGGACAUAUUCAAACUCCCCUCGGCUCAAGCUUUCAAAUGGCACUAGUUUUUCAGCGAUCGGACUCCGUUUGAAAAUUGAUAGUCAGAACUGGUUGUGAUUUUCUUCAGACGAUCGGAGGCUUGAUCGAAGAAUCAUAUGCUAGAAUUAUCGUCUGCGUGUUAUUUUGAGUCCAUAGGCGCUCGGAUCAUUGAUCGGACUCUGGCGGCUGAAGGUGAGUCGGCUGAUUGAUCAAAUGUCUCGGUAAUUCUCUAGCCUGUUGAUUUUAAAGAUUGUUGAUAAAAAAUUAUUUGAUUAAUUAUUAUGUUAAACACUAGAAAAAUUAUGUGAGGAUUGAUUGUCAAAAUAAUAGUAUGUCAGACCGUCUGCCAAUAAUUGUGAUCUGUGAUGAGUUACGGAGUCGGAAAAAAUGAUGUAGUUUUGGUGGCCUGACUCGUUAAUUAAUUGAUGAAUAUUAAAAGUGUUUCUAGCAGGUCCUGGACCCGUUAUACGGAAGACAAACGUUCGUAUUUUAGAGGAAGUUCUACCGAAUUUUCGAUAGAAUUUCAGAAUCGAAAUUCUUAGACAGUCAGUUCUAGGAGUUCAGUCCUAGGGUUAUUUAUUAAAUAUUUUACUUUUAUUGAUUGAAUUGUUCCGUGAAUAGAUAAUCCAUCAUUUCAACUCGCUCCACCCGAGGGUUAGGAACAGAGCAAGGAGGUCGUCAGAACUGUGAGUUAAAGUCAUAUAUCUGCUAUACAUGUUUCUUACAAAGAUCUUAAAUAAUAAUUUUGAUUAAUUGAUUUAUAGAUUUGAAUUAUUUCAUUUAUUUACUAUUCAUAUAUCAAUUUCUACAUCAUUGAUAUUAUAUUUGCAUGUUGACAUAGGAUGAGGCAGUAGUAGAACUUGCCACUUGAUGGGUUGCAUCAUGACUGCGUAUGCACUGGUAUGAAUCUGAGAUUGGUAGUAAAAGAUUAAUUUAGGACUUGCUCUGGUCGAGUUCAACUCUCUGGGCUGUAUAAAGUGUGUUUGCCGGAGUAAAGGUCUCUGGUCGAGCGUUGCUCUCUGGGCGCCGGCCUUAUUGGAAAUCAAGUGAUCAUACUGAACUUAAGGACUCUGGUCGAGCUCCGCUCUCUGGGCGCCAGUCUUGUUGGAGUGAGAGAGCCGAAAGGCUAAGGCUGUUAGUAUAGAGGUUAGGGUUCUAAUGAAGUACUCGUUUCGUAGCAUAUAAAAUCUAUUUUAUAGAAGCAUGACAUGACACGUGUUUUUUCAUGACGUAAUAUUUUAUUUUAAUUAAAUAAAUAUUUUAUUAAAGUGGUUGUACUCGUUUUUGGAUAUAUAAUUUUAAAUCACUAUCGAGACUGAAAAUCUCAAAUUUAAUUAUUUUUCAGGUAUUUGUUACUUUUCUGCAGUUCUUUCCCUCUAUCAGUCUAACUCUUUCAUCUUCG
rnacentral:lncRNA from 1 species